rnacentral:rRNA from 1 species
UAGCCGUAAACGAUACUCGCUAGGUGUCGGCCACGGUGCGACCGUUGUCGGUGCCGUAGGGAAGCCGUGAAGCGAGCCACCUGGGAAGUACGGCCGCAAGGCUGAAACUUAAAGGAAUUGGCGGGGGAGCACAACAACGGGUGGAGCUUGCGGUUUAAUUGAAUUCAACGCCGGAAAUCUUACCGGGACCGACAGCAACAUGAAGGCCAAGCUGAAGACUUUGCCGGAUUAGCUGAGAGGUGGUGCAUGGCGUAGUCGUGU